GAUGAACGCUGGCGGCGUGCCUAACACAUGCAAGUCGAACGGAGAUUACGGACGGAAGUUUUCGGAUGGAAGCCUGUAAUUCUUAGUGGCGGACGGGCGAGUAACGCGUGGGCAACCUGCCCUAUACAGGGGGAUAGCAGCUGGAAACGGCUGGUAAGACCGCAUAAGUCGGUUAAAUCGCAUGAUUUGAUCGGGAAAUGAGCAAUCAGGUAUAGGAUGGGCCCGCGUCCGAUUAGCCAGUUGGCAGGGUAAAAGCCUACCAAAGCGACGAUCGGUAGCCGGACUGAGAGGUCGGACGGCCACAUUGGGACUGAGACACGGCCCAAACUCCUACGGGAGGCAGCAGUGGGGGAUAUUGCACAAUGGAGGAAACUCUGAUGCAGCGACGCCGCGUGAGUGAAGAAGUAUUUCGGUAUGUAAAGCUCUAUCAGCAGGGAAGAUGAUGACGGUACCUGACUAAGAAGCCCCGGCUAACUACGUG
rnacentral:rRNA from 1 species